rnacentral:rRNA from 1 species
CCUACGGGUGGCUGCAGUCGAGAAUCUUCCACAAUGGGCGAAAGCCUGAUGGAGCGACGCCGCGUGAUCGAUGAAGUCAGUUUCUGGCGUAAAGAUCUUUUAUGAGGGAAAAAGUUUAUUGAUGGUACCUCAUGAAUAAGGAGCUGCUAACCUCGUGCCAGCAGCAGCGGUAAGACGAGGGCUCCGAGCGUUAUCCGGAAUUAUUGGGCGUAAAGGGUGUGUAGGUGGUUGUGUUAGUCUUGUGUCAAAUCCUUCUUGCUUAACAAGAAGACCGCACGGGAUACGGCACAGCUCGAGGGUGCAAGGGGUGUACGGAACUCACGGUGUAGGGGUGAAAUCCGUUGAUAUCGUGGGGAACGCCAAAAGCGAAGGCAGUACACUGGUGCAUACCUGACACUGAAACACGAAAGCCAGGGGAGCGAAUGGGAUUAGAUACCCCA